rnacentral:tRNA from 1 species
GCCCAGGGAUGGGAAUAGCCUAGUGGACAUGGCAUCUACCUGGUAAGCGGAACACUGUGGGUUCGAUUCCCAUUCCUGGACA